GAGCGCGCGGGGCCGCCGGCGGGGCGCGCGCCCGGCAGGGGCAGCCGCGGGGGAGGAGCGCCCGAUCGCGCGCCCAACGGACCAGGCUGCGGCCGUGAGGUAACUGUUGCAGCGCGCGGGAGCUGGGAGGCGACGCCGCCGUCUCCCGUCCCGAGCCGCGCUUGAGGGAAAAGGGAAGAGGCGUCCGCGGCGGUCCCGGGACACCAAGAAGCCCUUCUCGCCGCUCUCAGUGGCCGGCAUGAGGCGGACGCCGCCGCCCCUCAGCCCGCGCGCCGGGGAUCCCGGCCGGUGGCGGCGGCGGGCGCAGCCGUGACCGCUCUGCGAAGCUCGGGGCGCCCAGAACGCGGAGGGCGGCGCGGGGUCGGCAAGCGCCAGCGGCCCCCCGGCGGCCCGGGGCCAUGAGGAAAGACGAGCGCGAGCGGGACGCGCCAGCCAUGAGGUCCCCGCCGCCGCCGCCAGCCUCGGCCGCCUCGCCCCCCGAGAGCCUGCGCAACGGCUACGUGAAGAGCUGCGUGAGCCCGCUGCGGCAGGACCCUCCGCGCAGCUUCUUCUUCCACCUCUGCCGCUUCUGCAACGUGGAGCCGCCGGCGGCCUCGCUCCGCGCCGGGGCACGCCUCUCGCUCGGCGUCCUGGCCGCCUUUGUCCUGGCCGCGCUGCUGGGCGCGAGGCCCGAGCGCUGGGCGGCCGCGGCAGCCGGGCUCCGGACGCUGCUGAGCGCCUGCUCGCUCAGCCUCAGCCCGCUCUUCAGCAUCGCCUGUGCCUUCUUCUUCCUCACCUGUUUCCUGACGCGCGCGCAGCGCGGCCCGGGCCGCGGCGCCGGCUCCUGGUGGCUGCUGGCGCUGCCCGCCUGCUGCUACCUGGGCGACUUCGCGGCGUGGCAGUGGUGGUCGUGGCUGCGUGGGGAGCCGGCGGCGGCGGGCCGGCUCUGCCUGGUGCUGAGCUGCGUGGGGCUGCUGACGCUCGCGCCCCGCGUGAGGCUGCGGCACGGCGUCCUGGUGCUGCUCUUCGCCGGCCUGGUGUGGUGGGUGUCCUUCUCCGGCCUCGGGGCUCUGCCGCCCGCGCUCAGGCCUCUGCUGUCGUGCCUGGUCGGGGGCGCGGGAUGCCUGCUAGCCCUGGGCUUGGACCACUUCUUUCACGUCCGGGGAGCCUCCCCUCCGCCGCGCUCGGCGAGUACCGCGGAGGAAAAAGUGCCUGUGAUCAGACCCCGGAGGAGGUCCAGCUGCGUGUCGCUGGGAGAAAGCGCAGCCGGUUACUAUGGCAGUGGCAAGAUGUUCAGGAGACCGUCGUUGCCUUGUAUUUCCCGAGAACAGAUGAUCCUCUGGGACUGGGACUUGAAGCAGUGGUGUAAACCUCAUUACCAGAAUUCUGGAGGUGGAAAUGGAGUUGAUCUUUCAGUGCUAAAUGAAGCUCGCAAUAUGGUGUCAGACCUGCUGAUUGACCCAAGCCUUCCCCCACAAGUCAUUUCUUCUCUGCGGAGUAUCAGUAGCUUGAUGGGUGCUUUCUCAGGUUCCUGUAGGCCAAAGAUUAAUUCUUUUACACCAUUUCCUGGAUUUUAUCCCUGCUCUGAAGUAGAAGAUCCAGUUGAGAAAGGAGAUCGAAAACUUCACAAGGGAUUGAGUGGCAGAACCAGUUUCCCAACUCCACAGCUGAGGAGGAGCUCUGGAGCCUCAUCGUUGCUGACUAAUGAGCACUGUUCAAGGUGGGAUCGCAGCAGUGGUAAGAGGUCUUACCAAGAACUCAGUGUUUCAAGUCAUGGAUGCCACCUAAAUGGGCCUUUUAGUUCAAAUCUUUUUACAAUUCCAAAGCAGAGGUCAUCGUCUGUGUCACUGACGCACCAUGCAGGUCUGAGAAGAGCUGGUGCUUUGCCCAGCCACAGUCUUCUGAAUUCUUCAAGCCAUGUACCAGUGUCUGCUGGCUCUCUAACUAAUCGAUCACCCAUAGGAUUUCCUGAUACCACUGAUUUUCUUACUAAGCCAAAUAUUAUUUUACAUAGAUCACUGGGCAGUGUAUCAAGUGCAGCAGAUUUCCAUCAGUACCUUAGGAACUCUGACAGCAAUCUGUGUAGCAGCUGUGGACACCAAAUACUCAAAUAUGUUUCAACAUGUGAACCCGAUGGUACAGACCACCCCAGUGAAAAAUCAGCUGUGCCCCUAAGGUGAAGAAGACAGCAGUGUUUUCUCAAAAGAACCAUUGAACAUUGUGGAAACCCAAGAAGAAGAGACCAUGAAGAAAGCCUGCAGGGAGUUAUUUUUGGAAGGUGAUAGUCACCUGAUGGAAGAGGCACAGCAACCAAAUAUCGAUCAGGAAGUGUCACUGGAUCCAAUGUUAGUAGAAGAUUAUGAUUCAUUAAUAGAAAAGAUGAACAACUGGAAUUUUCAGAUUUUUGAGCUUGUAGAAAAGAUGGGAGAAAAAUCAGGAAGGAUUCUCAGUCAGGUUAUGUAUACUUUAUUUCAAGAUACUGGUUUAUUGGAAACAUUUAAAAUUCCCACUCAAGAAUUUAUGAAUUAUUUUCGUGCCUUAGAAAAUGGCUACCGGGACAUUCCAUAUCACAAUCGUGUGCAUGCCACAGAUGUCCUACAUGCUGUUUGGUAUUUGACAACCCGACCAAUUCCUGGCUUACCUCAGAUCCAUAAUAACCAUGAAACGGAAACCAAAGCAGAUUCAGAUGGUAGACUUGGUUCUGGACAGAUUGCUUACAUUUCUUCGAAGAGUUGCUGUAUUCCAGAUAUGAGUUAUGGCUGCCUAUCUUCAAACAUCCCUGCAUUAGAAUUGAUGGCUUUGUAUGUGGCAGCUGCCAUGCACGAUUACGAUCACCCAGGAAGAACAAAUGCGUUUCUAGUGGCUACAAAUGCACCUCAGGCAGUUUUAUACAAUGACAGAUCUGUUCUAGAGAAUCAUCAUGCUGCAUCAGCUUGGAAUCUGUAUCUUUCUCGCCCAGAGUACAACUUCCUCCUUAACCUUGAUCACAUGGAAUUCAAGCGGUUUCGAUUUUUAGUUAUAGAAGCAAUCCUUGCUACAGAUCUCAAAAAACAUUUUGAUUUCCUUGCAGAAUUCAAUGCCAAGGCCAAUGAUGUAAAUAGUAACGGUAUAGAAUGGAGCAGUGAAAACGAUCGCCUCUUGGUCUGCCAGGUGUGCAUCAAAUUAGCAGAUAUCAAUGGCCCAGCAAAAGAUCGGGACCUACAUUUGAGAUGGACAGAAGGCAUUGUGAAUGAAUUUUAUGAGCAGGGAGAUGAAGAAGCAACCCUGGGUCUACCUAUUAGUCCCUUCAUGGAUCGUUCUUCUCCUCAACUAGCAAAACUCCAAGAAUCUUUUAUCACCCACAUUGUGGGCCCCCUGUGCAACUCCUAUGAUGCUGCUGGCUUGCUGCCGGGUCAGUGGAUAGAAACAGAAGAGGGUGAUGAUACAGAAAGUGAUGAUGAUGAUGAUGAUGAUGAUGGUGGUGGUGAAGAAUUAGAUUCAGAUGAUGAAGAAACAGAAGACAAUCUAAAUCCUAAACCACAAAGAAGGAAAGGCAGGCGGCGAAUAUUUUGCCAACUAAUGCACCACCUCACUGAAAACCACAAGAUAUGGAAGGAAAUCAUAGAAGAAGAAGAAGAAAAAUGUAAAGCUGAGGGGAACAAACUGCAGGUGGAUAAUGCCUCCUUACCUCAGGCAGAUGAGAUUCAGGUUAUUGAAGAAGCAGAUGAAGAGGAAGAACAAAUGUUUGAAUGAGAAGAGAACUCAUGCUGAAGGAGCCUGGGGUGCUGUUCCCAGGGUCAUUACCUAAUGCUCACUGUACUGAUUCUCAACUGACCAUUCCCAUGUGGGCACGCCUUAAUACUGUGAGAGGAUCCUGGCUACCCUGGCAGUUCUCACUCCUAAGCACUUUCAUUACAAACAAGAAACUGAUUCUUAGAGCUUGCUGCAGUUGACUCAUGCUGCAAAGCCUUCCUCAAAGCCUUCACUGGUGUGUAAAUAGUGUGUCAUAAUGCUGCUUUGCUGGGUAGUGAGCUCUUAUUUCUCAUGAUGAGGGAGGGAAGGCUAAAACUGAAAAGUCAAGUGACUUCGGUUUUUGAAGUAACCAUAUUUCUUUUAUGAAAACAGGAUUCAUCUUGUAUUUCCAAAUAUAUCUUUUAUGUCUUUGUUUGGGGGUGGGGUGGUGCAAGAAACAGACCUCUAUGCUUAAUACAAAAAUGAAUUCAUGGUGGCCUUUCUGAGUGAUUUCUGCUCGUGGCAGCACACUGUUCAGUGUGGUUCUCCUGGCUUCAUCGAGGAAGGACUGAGGACCUUUGUUAUACUUAGCAAAACCCAGAUGCAUCAAUUUCUGAUGCUUUUUAUUGUUGUGUAUAAUCUAUUUACUUGUUUUAUUUCUGCCUAAAGUAUUCAGGUUUGCUGUGGACAUCAGAGGUCUGAAUUCUGUUCUUACUGAUUUUGUUCCAUGGUUGAAUUUAAAAGUAUAUAAUAAUGAAGGAGCUUUAUUCUUUAUUCAAAUCUGUUCUUAUUCUUAUUCUUUCUCAGGAUAAGUAAUUUUAAACAAUUAUUAUAAAUAUUGCAUAGAUUUGCCAGAGAAAAAAACAUUGUCCUGAUAUUGAUGUUAUCUUUUAUGAAAUGAGCACCAUUUUAUUUUAAUUAGAGUCAAGAAAAAGGAGCUGGCCAUCUUUUGCCUUAAUGGAAAAUCAAUGAAACCAAUCCCAUCGAAGAUAUUGCCUAAAUAUUUAGUUAUCUUUAGAUAUAUGUCUUAGGUGUCUAGUAAAAUUGACAUUUUUUAUUGUUAAUAUCUUUCUGCUUCAAGAGUACAUGGCAGAGAUGACACAUCACUAUUUAGUAAUAUUACAGCCCCACAGACAGAAUUUUGAAGUAAAGUACAUAAUGGGAAUGCAUAUUAAUUUUUAAUAAAGUGCUAUAAAAUAAAUAUGCUAUGAAUAGUUCAAUAAAUAAUUCCAUAAAUGCUUAUAAAUAAAUAAUUUACUAAGAAAACAGGACACAUUUAUGUUUAUAUAAUCUCAUUAGAGUGUGGCUAUGUGCCCCAGUUGUGAAAAAUUAUUGAAGUUAUACAAAGCAACCAAAAUAAUACCAAAAUGGUAAACUGGUUUCUUCUUAUCCUUUAUACAUUAUUUUGAAGCCAUUGAACUUUGUGCACAGUUAACUGUCAGUUUCCACAGUAUUUCCUAUAUAGUGUGAUGCUGGAAUUUCUUACCUACCUAAGAUAUUUGGGUUGUCUACAAGGCCACAGUUAAAGAUUGAUUGGAGUACUGGUAUUUUUGAUCCUGUAGGUACCAUAUUUAAUGAAUCACUACACUUUAUUUAUUAAACAUGUUGAGUGCUGAGUUCCUUCCUGUCACUUUUGCUACCACAACUACAUCAUUUGUAAACUGGUCCCACCAUAUAUUACUAAGUAAUAAAAUUUUAACUGAUAAUCUAU